rnacentral:rRNA from 1 species
CAGGCUUAACACAUGCAAGUCGAGGGGCAGCAUGAAAGUUUGCUUGCAAACUUUUGAUGGCGACCGGCGCACGGGUGAGUAACACGUAUCCAACCUGCCUCAUACUCGGGGAUAGCCUUUCGAAAGAAAGAUUAAUACCCGAUGUCAUAGUCCUACCGCAUGAUGGGAUUAUUAAAGAAUUUCGGUAUGGGAUGGGAUGCGUUCCAUUAGUUAGUUGGCGGGGUAACGGCCCACCAAGACAACGAUGGAUAGGGGUUCUGAGAGGAAGGUCCCCCACAUUUGAACUGAGACACGGUCCAAACUCCUACGGGAGGCAGCAGUGAGGAAUAUUGGUCAAUGGACGAGAGUCUGAACCAGCCAAGUAGCGUGAAGGAUGACUGCCCUAUGGGUUGUAAACUUCUUUUAUAUGGGAAUAAAAUGUUCCACGUGUGGGAUUUUGUAUGUACCAUAUGAAUAAGGAUCGGCUAACUCCGUGCCAGCAGCCGCGGUAAUACGGAGGAUCCGAGCGUUAUCCGGAUUUAUUGGGUUUAAAGGGAGCGUAGGUGGAUUGUUAAGUCAGUUGUGAAAGUUUGCGGCUCAACCGUAAAAUUGCAGUUGAAACUGGCAGUCUUGAGUACAGUAGAGGUGGGCGGAAUUCGUGGUGUAGCGGUGAAAUGCUUAGAUAUCACGAAGAACUCCGAUUGCGAAGGCAGCUCACUGGACUGCAACUGACACUGAGGCUCGAAAGUGUGGGUAUCAAAGCAGGAUUAGAUACCCUGGUAGUCCACACAGUAAACGAU